UAAGGUUUAUUUUGUGAGUUAGACAUUUUUGACCUAUUCUCUAAUAAGUUUCCUAGAAAGUUUUAUUCUUGCUUGAAUGUUUGCUUGUUGAAUGAUUUACAUGAAAAUAUAUGUGAGGGAGAAAAAUGUCUUAAAGGUAGUAUUAAUUAAUCUCAGUAUUUAGUAUUAAUAAUCAAGGGAACUUGGAAUUAGUAAUUUAAUAUAAGAUCGGCUAAAUUUGUGCCAGCCGCCGCGGUUAGACUUGGGAUUUAAGUAAAUAGUAUUGGUAUGAAAGUUAACUAUAUGAUAUAUAAAACGUAUAAUUCUCUUUUGAAGGUGGAAUUUUUAGAAGAGUUAUAAGGUUUAUUGGAGUGAAGCUUUGAAAUUUAAAUAAUAAACUAGGAUUAGAUACCCGAUUA
rnacentral:rRNA from 1 species